UACUUUCCUUAAGAUGCCCUCAAUUCCUUCUUAAACCCCCCCUCUCUCCCUUCUCUCUCUCUCUAGAUCGAAAUGGCGACCAAGCUCCCCCGUCUACUCUCCUCAGUCCCCAAAUUAGGGUUAGGGUUUCAAAGCAACCACCGAUCCCUCUCCCCUGCGAUCUUCGCGUCGACGAGAGAUCUGUCAUCCUCAGCCCCAAAUCAACCCUCGGAGAAAUCGAUGGGAGAUUCCCCUCCAUCGCCUCCUCCUUCGAAUGGCGACAAGGAGAAGGAUGAAGAAGAAGAUGAAGAUGACGAUGCUGAUGGCGCUUUCGUAAAUAAGACAACGGGAGAGGUCGGUGGGCCCCGUGGGCCCGAGCCCACGCGGUACGGGGAUUGGGAGCGCAAUGGACGCUGUUCCGACUUUUGAAUCGCUCACCUACAGAUAACAGAGAAGAGAAAAGACUACAUGGAGUUUUGAUCUUUCAUACACUUCCAGGAGUCCUUUUGUGGUGGCUGCAGCAGUGAUCCAAUUCCAGAAGAAUCAAUAAGUAUCUUUAUCCUCGAUUAUUAGGGAUGCUUGUAUGUCGAUAACGAAGAUUUGCUGUUAUUUGUACAAUACACGUUGGUAGAUGCUCAGCAAUAAUCCCUAUAUGUUGGCUUGCAUGAGCAGGCAGUAGCAAAGGGGUACACGGCGUAAAUAAAUAAAAACAGAGGGUGUGACUGCAGCGUGGCGGAGGACAGCGUGUGUUUGUAUGU